CUCCGCUCCCGUCGCCAUCUUGGGCUCGGGCGUCUCCGCGAAGGGUUAGAGGGGACGGUGGAGGUCAAGGGUCCCGGCUCCCGCGGCGCGUAGGGCGCCUACGUAGCUGGCCCGCUGGUUCGAAGCCUUGCCUGGUCGCCGGUGAACUUGACAACCGUGUUCCCUCCCUUGCGCUCCCUUGUAAAGCUCAGAGGCUGCCCCUCUGGGAGCGGGGGUGACCGAGAACCUUGAGACGCGCGGCGGGGGCUUCCAUCGCGUCUAAGUUACUACAAGAGAGUGAAUAUAGUUCCCUGUGCUAUACAGCAGAAACUUGUUUAUCUAUUUUAUAUGUAGUAGUCAGUAUUUUGUGUUUUCUGAGCACUGCCAUACUUCCUGGUGUUGCAAGAUGCCCAGGCUUAUCCUGUACCAUCUCUGUGCCUGCAUUUGUCCAAGGUGACAUUCGAUCUGGAAUCAUGUAGUUAGUAGUCGGCUGUGCAGCUGUUUCAGUUCCCUUUUGUGACUGUUGCUGUCCUAGGAACAGGGCUAACAGACAGAUUAACAGAGGAUGACUUGAUGGAGACAAGUGCCAGAUGAUGAGGAAAUCGCAGAAGAAACAGCGCCAGGAAACAGAUUGACAUCAGACCAUCCUACAGAAGCAUUCUGAGUUUUCAAAGAUUGCUUUUGACGGCUUUUGCAACAUGGCUCCUUCAAUGAUACGGGCACUGAAACUAAAAUGAACGGUGGAAGGAUUAUGGUAUACAAACAUUUUUAGAGAAAUGAAAAAAGCAGAAAACUCAUACAGAAACGACGAUGUGUUUUUCAUUAAGUUACACCAGGUGUGCCGGCCUCUCUUGCCCCCACCCCCACAUCCUCCACCUCCGCCCCCCAAGACAGCAAGACCCACGCCUCCUCAGCUGACUCAGUGUGAAAACCUGAGGAUGAAGACCUUUAUGAUGAUCCAUCUCCACUUAGUAAGUAGUGUUCAUCAUGUGGAACAUGUGCAGGACUUGAAGUGGAUAGAGCCUGUCCAUAGGAGCAAGCCCACCACUCUCCCUGGGAUGUCUCAGGAGCUCAGAGCGCAAAGCACAACAACACAGCCCCACGCUGGGUCCCCAGGCCCUGGAAGCGUAGCCCACCACGCAGACCUCCCUGUGGAUUCCCUGGGCUAAAGCUCUGAGAGUAAUGGAAUACACGGAAUAGGAGGAGAAAAAGGCUGGCUCUUUUCGCAGAAGUAACUCAGGAGAGCUGAAAACUAAAGUUCCAGACUGAAAACAUUCUAUGAUGCUUUACUCACAGGUCUUUCCUGCCUCUGCCACAGACCAACCCUCUUCCUGCCCUCACACAUACACCCCUUCCAAACACUCGAUGAUUCAGUCUGUUCACUUGGGGCUCUUCUUCCCAUUUUUGACCUAAAAAAAUAAAACAGCCUGUUAUUUUACCACAAAGUGGGUUCAUUCAGGAGCAACAAAGAAUUGCAGUUUGGGACAAUCAGGCUACAGCAGAAGCUCCAAGCAAAUCCCAUGAACAAAGGAGAGGAACGUUAUUUCAUAGAGAAAGAGAGUGAGGGGUGCUGUUUUGGGGUCUGAUGGAGGGGAGCCCUGAGUAAAGGGUGGGGAUGGCUUCCCAUCAGCUCAGCAGCCAGGGUGGUCAGUGGCCUGCGGGAGGCGCAGGGAACAUAUUUCCUGGUGAGGCCUGGGAUUGAGGAUUCUCUCCCGUUGAUGAUUGUUGCUGGGGUUUGUAAUGGACAGUCCUUCCUGUUACUGACUUUGAGUGGCACUGCCACUCCCUCCUUCCGGCCUCCCCGCUGUACCUUAGAUGAGGUUUCCCUCAGUAACUUUCAUGCCAUUCAAGGUGGUGUAUGUCCCCUUCUCUGAUCUGUACCAUAUUGAGAACAGCCCUGUCAGCCUGCCUGUCUCAGAAUACAGAAUUUCUUUCCCGGAGUGUUGUCUACACUCCAGACGGCAGCCUAGUGCCCCAGAGAAUCGGUUGGGAAGGAUACAGGAGCUGUGUCCAAAGAGGAAGGAGAGGUGGAAGGCCCCAUCGCUGACACCACCAGGACUCAGGUCUCCUGGAAACACCCUUCUUGGGGUGGGAGCUGGGGCCACACAACUUUUUGAACUUGAACCAUUUUUCAAAAUUCAGGAGGAUCUGGAAGUUCUGGACUCCUGUCAACAUCUCGCUCUCUAAUGUGAAAUGUAGAAUCCUCUCCUGUCGCCUCCCCAGGAUGCUUUUCCAUCUCCAUUAUCUGUUUCUGGUUGGUGCGCUGCAGUCAAAUUGAGGCUAAGGAUGGGCCUCUGCCUGGUUCUUAGGCGGUUCUGAACUAUAUGUGAGUUUUACAUGUAUGAGUGACCUGUGAUCUGUGUGAGAGUUUACACACAGGAUUAUCUGUGGUCUGAGCAUGUAGAUACACACUUCUGUUGGAAUGAACAUGAGGCACCCCUGGGUGAGUCUGAGGUUCAGCCACGAUAGCGGCCCCUUCAACCUGCCUGGGC